CAACGCUAAAGCGUCCAUCACUUAAUCGACGACGUGCGGGACGUACGGUUGUGGACGUCUGUACACAUUCGAAAAGUUAGUAAACAUUCAGUGAAGGACGCGGAAGGUGUGCUCGACAUUCUCUCUCUCUGUGUUUUGCUGCUGCUUGCAGUCGGCCGGCAUUGAAAAUGGAGUUGAACGUUACAAACCCUGGCUAUCUACAGCGGCGGUGGGAUGCAUUCCUGGAUGUGGUCGGCGAUGAUCCGGAACGGUUGUACGUGUGGGGCCUGUCCUUCUACAUACACACCCUUUACUGGGUGCUCGGAUCGUUCUUCGUCUUUAUGGACGUGUUCCAGUGGCCGCCGGCGCUCAGGAAGUUCAAAAACCAACCCGGACUCAACGAACCACUCAGGUGGGCCGACCUGCGAAAGGUAUGCGGCGUAACACCACGGGGAGAAAGUGCUACACAUACACACACACUAACGCAAUCAAUUCUUCCAGAUCGUUCGCACCGUACUGAUCAACCAGCUGUUGAUCAGCGUUCCGAUAACGUUCUUCGGGUUCCGGGCCCUGCUGGCCAGCGGUGUCGCAGUGAACGUGCGUACCCUCCCGUCACUGUACGAGGUGGUGCGGGAUCUGCUCAUCAGUGCCGCCGGCUGGGAGCUCGGGUUCUACUACAGCCACCGGCUGCUUCACUCGAAGCAUCUGUACAAGCUGAUUCACAAGCAGCACCACGAGUUUACCGCACCGGUGGCCUGGGCCGCCAUCUACGCGCAUCCGAUCGAGCACAUCUUCAGCAAUCUGCUGCCACCGCUGAUCGGCAUUCAGCUGAUGCGCAGCCACGUGCUGACGUCGGCGCUCUGGCUAACGUUUGUCAUCCAGGACACGAUCACCGGACAUUCGGGGUACCACGUGCCGUUUCUGAGCAGCAACGAGGCGCACGACUACCACCACAUGAAAUUCAACCAAUGCUACGGUGUGUUCGGUUGGCUCGACUGGCUACACGGUUCUGAUGCUCAGUUCCGGGCAUCGCGAUACUACAAGCGGCACCAGAUGCUGCUCGGCACCAAAUCGGCCCGGGAGCUGAUUCCGGAUGACAAGAAACAGCACAAAAAGUGAAGUUUGUAGAGUAUUUUGUAUAAUAAAACGAGGUGGUUGUAUCAAAAGAUGA